rnacentral:rRNA from 1 species
UACGUAGGGGGCAAGCGUUGUCCGGAAUUAUUGGGCGUAAAGCGCGCGCAGGCGGCCUGUUAAGUCUGAUGUGAAAGCCCACGGCUCAACCGUGGAGGGCCAUUGGAAACUGGUAGGCUUGAGUGCAGGAGAGGAGAGCGGAAUUCCUGGUGUAGCGGUGAAAUGCGUAGAUAUCAGGAGGAACACCCGUGGCGAAGGCGGCUCUCUGGCCUGUAACUGACGCUGAGGCGCGAAAGCGUGGGGAGCGAACAGG